rnacentral:rRNA from 1 species
UAAAUGUAAGUGGGUAUUAAAUCGCAAGUCUUCCCCCCCCAGGGAAAGGCCACACUUUCGAAUUGCGGGAACACCCUAAAGCUGACAUCCUACCAAACCGGCUGGGAGAAAUCCUCCGGUGGCUUGUGGUAACUACACAAGGUACGGUAAAAACGGGUUCAGAUAAACGCUAGCCGAGCUAGCUGCAUGGGCAAUCCGCAGCCAAUCCCUAAGGUGUUCGUUCACUAUGGGACAGGUUCACAGACUAAGUGGAAGUGGGCUGCGCUGGCAGCUUGAGAUAUAGUCGGGUUCUGCGAGAAAUCGCUGGAGAGUCACUGUUCCGUAGGUGAACCUGCGGAAGGAUCAUUACCAAAACUUGCGAACCCGGUUCAGGCUGGGAACGCUUCAACCCUUUGUGAAACUAAAAAACUUUUCGCUUCGGUUAGCAGGGGAGGCGCGGUUCCGGGUCAGCACCCGGGCCUGUUUCCCCGUAAGCCUGCCGACAGCACCACAUAAACUUGCAUUUAAAUAUUGUCUGACCACCAAAUUUUCGAAUGAAAAUUAAAACUUUCAACAACGGAUCUCUUGGUUCUCGCAUCGAUGAAGAACGCAGCGAAACGCGAUAGUUAAUGUGAAUUGCAGAAUUCAGUGAAUCAUCGAGUCUUUGAACGCACAUUGCGCCCAUUGGUAUUCCAUUGGGCAUGUCUGUUUGAGCGUCAUUACAACCCCUCAGCGCAAGCUGGUCUUGAGCCCGGUUCGGAAACGGACCUGGUUUUAAAGUUGUAAGCUCUGCUGGCUGCUCCGCCCGAACGAAAACAUAGUAAAAUUUUGCUUGUUUACAACUAAGGUGUGCAGGACGGCCUGAACAAAACCUACCAAAUUCUAAGGUUUGACCUCAGAUCAGACAAGGAUACCCGCUGAACUUAAGCAUAUCAAUAAGCGGAGGAAAAGAAACCAACAGGGAUUGCCUCAGUAACGGCGAGUGAAGCGGCAAAAGCUCAAAUUUGAAAUCUGGAGUUUUUAACUUCCGAGUUGUAAUUUGAAGAGGAUGUUUCGGUUGCGGCUUGGGCCCAAGUUCCUUGGAACAGGACGUCAUGGAGGGUGAGAAUCCCGUACGUGGCUACCGGCUUGCUUCUAUGUGAAACUCCUUCGAAGAGUCGAGUUGUUUGGGAAUGCAGCUCAAAAUGGGUGGUAAAUUUCAUCUAAAGCUAAAUAUUGGCGAGAGACCGAUAGCGCACAAGUAGAGUGAUCGAAAGAUGAAAAGCACUUUGAAAAGAGAGUUAAACAGUACGUGAAAUUGUUGAAAGGGAAGCGCUUGCAAUCAGACUCACUUUCAGUUGAUCAACGUUCCUUCUGGUUCGUGCACUCUGCUGUUUGUGGGCCAGCAUCAGUUAAGGCGGCAGGACAAAAGUUCCGGGAAUGUGGCUCCCCUCGGGGAG